rnacentral:rRNA from 1 species
UACGUAGGGUGCGAGCGUUAAUCGGAAUUACUGGGCGUAAAGGGUGCGUAGGUGGCGGGGUAAGUCUGGUGUGAAAUCCUGGGGCUCAACCCCGGAACUGCACUGGAUACUGCUUUGCUAGAGUACUGGAGAGGGAACUGGAAUUUACGGUGUAGCAGUGAAAUGCGUAGAUAUCGUAAGGAAGACCAGUGGCGAAGGCGAGUUCCUGGACAGUUACUGACACUGAGGCACGGAAGGC